rnacentral:rRNA from 1 species
CCUACGGGAGGCAGCAGUGGGGAAUCUUGCGCAAUGCACGACAGUGUGACGCAGCAACGCCGCGUGGGGGAAGAAGGCCUUCGGGUUGUAAACCUCUUUCAGGAAGGACGAAGCCUCGGCCGCGAAUAGCGGUCCGAGGUGACGGUACUUCCACAAGAAGCCCCGGCUAACUACGUGCCAGCAGCCGCGGUAAUACGUAGGGGGCUAGCGUUGUCUGGAAUCAUUGGGCGUAAAGCGCGCGUAGGCGGCCAGAUAAGUCCGGUGUGAAAGUCACAGGCUCAACCUGUGAAUGCCGCUGGAAACUGUCUGGCUAGAGUCCGGAAGGGGCGAGUGGAAUUCCUGGUGUAGCGGUGAAAUGCGCAGAUAUCAGGAGGAACACCAAUGGCGAAGGCAGCUCGCUGGAACGGUACUGACGCUGAGGCGCGAAAGCGUGGGGAGCGAACAGGAUUAGAUACCCUGGUAGUCCACGCCGUAAACGAUGGGCACUAGGUGUGGGAGGUGUCGACUCCUCCUGUGCCGAAGCUAACGCAUUAAGUGCCCCGCCUGGGGAGUCGGCCGCAAGGCUUAAACGUCAAAGGAAUUGACGGGCGNGAGAGNGCGAGGACGACGACGAGGGAGGAGG